rnacentral:lncRNA from 1 species
AUCAUGGACCGCAAAGAAACCAGUAAAAAAUUAUAAGGCCAAAAUUAAAAUAACAAAAAGGGCCAGAUUGAACCACAACACAAAAGCAGAUGGAUUUGGCGCGCAAAUAUCCCUCCGACAAGCCAUUAAACGACGUCGUUUCGAGGCCACUGCUGCAGGCCCUAAACAACGUCGUUUAAAGAGAGUUAUAAAACUAAAAAAAAAACCUAAAACAUAAGUGUUUUAUUAGACUAAAACCAUCAAACAAAAAAACCUAAAUCUCUGCCCCUUUUUCUCACCGUUUCGAAACCCAAAAUCCCCUUUCCACCCCGAUUCAGAUGAAGUGAAGGAGGACUCCAACGGCGCACUCACACAGGUAAGUCCCUUGCCCUAUUUUCUAUAUUUUUUUCACACAC